AUUGAACGCUGGCGGCAUGCCUUACACAUACAAGUCGAACGGCAGCACGGGAGCAAUCCUGGUGGCGAGUGGCGAACGGGUGAGUAAAGUAUCGGAACGUGCCCAGUCGUGGGGGAUAACGUAGCGAAAGUUACGCUAAUACCGCAUACGAUCUAUGGAUGAAAGCGGGGGAUCGCAAGACCUCGCGCGAUUGGAGCGGCCGAUAUCAGAUUAGGUAGUUGGGGGGGUAAAGGCUCACCAAGCCGACGAUCCGUAGCUGGUCUGAGAGGACGACCAGCAACACUGGGACUGGGACACGGCCCAGAAUCCUACGGGAGGCAGCAGUGGGGAAUUUUGGACAAUGGGCGAAAGCCUGAUCCAGCCAUGCCGCGUGCAGGAUGAAGGCCUUCGGGUUGUAAACUGCUUUUGUACGGAACGAAAAGGUUUGGCCUAAUAAGCUGAGCUCAUGACGGUACCGUAAGAAUAAGCACCGGCUAACUACGUGCCAGCCGCCGCCGUAA
rnacentral:rRNA from 1 species